rnacentral:rRNA from 1 species
GGUGCUUUCUCUUCGGGACAGGAAUAAACAGGUGGUGCAUGGUUGUCGUCAGCUCGUGUCGUGAGAUGUUGGGUUAAGUCCCGCAACGAGCGCAACCCCUUUUUUUUUUGUAGCCAGCAGGUAAAGGUUGGGCACUCCGGCGAGACUGCCCGGGAUAACCGGGAGGAAGGCGGGGAUGACGUCAAUUCAUCAUGCCCCUUAUGACCUGGGCAACACACGUCAUACAAUGGCGUUAACAAAGGGAAUCCAGACCGGGAGUUUAAGCCAAGCUCAAAAAUAUCGUUUCAGUUCGGACUGCAGUCUGCAACUCGACUGCAUGAAGCUGGAAUUGCUAGUAAUCGCGAAUCAGCAUGUCGCGGUGAAUACGUUCC